rnacentral:rRNA from 1 species
UACAGAGGGUGCGAGCGUUAAUCGGAAUUACUGGGCGUAAAGCGUGCGUAGGUGGUGAGUUAAGUCUGUCGUGAAAGCCCCGGGCUUAACCUGGGAAUGGCAUUUGGGACUGCAAGGCUGGAGUACGGCAGAGGAGACUGGAAUUCCUGGUGUAGCAGUGAAAUGCGUAGAGAUCAGGAGGAAUACCGAUGGCGAAGGCAGGUCUCUGGGCCGUUACUGACGCUGAGGAGCGAAAGCGUGGGGAGCGAACAGG